rnacentral:rRNA from 1 species
AUACGGAGGGUGCAAGCGUUAAUCGGAAUUACUGGGCGUAAAGCGUACGUAGGCGGUUUGUUAAGUUAGAUGUGAAAGCCCCGGGCUUAACCUGGGAACUGCAUUUAAAACUGGCAAACUAGAGUUGGGUAGAGGGAAGUGGAAUUUCAGGUGUAGCGGUGAAAUGCGUAGAGAUCUGAAGGAACACCAGUGGCGAAGGCGGCUCCCUGGACUCAAACUGACGCUGAGGUACGAAAGCGUGGGUAGCAAACGGGAUUAGAUACCCUAGUAGUCCC